GGAUUGUGGCUCAUUGGUAGAGCACUCGCCUAGCACGUGUGAGGCCCUGGGUUCAAUCCUAAGCACCA
rnacentral:tRNA from 1 species